rnacentral:lncRNA from 1 species
CAGAAAGGUGGGGCUGCACAGACCUGCCUGGAGGAUGCCCGUUCUGGGACUUGUUUUGCUGCAGCUCCCCAGCCGCAUGUGAAGGAGGACUGGAAGUACGUGGCCAUGGUCAUCGACCGCAUCUUCCUCUGGAUGUUCAUCGUUGUCUGCCUGCUGGGAACCGUGGGCCUGUUCCUGCCACCCUGGCUGGCCGGCAUGAUCUAAGGAUGGAGCUGGUGUGGCCUGGGCAACUACAGGAUGCGGCAGGGUUGGGUUGCUUGUCCCCGCCCCCCAGCUCCACGGGGCCGUGCCACUGGCCAUUUGCCCACCAUCUUCCAAGUACCUGCUGUGAGCUAGCCUUGGAAAGAGACACUACCUCUGAGGGAGCUGGAGUUUGGGUGCUGGUUCUGGUCCUGCAGCGGCCAGGGGAGGGGCGGCUGGCUGGCAGGGCUGGCACGUGCUUGCUUCAUCCACAGGGCAGUGUCGUGGCUAAGCCCCAUCAAAGUUUCUCCAGAGCAGACCACUUGCUCUCCUGCCUGCAGACAGCACAUGCUCGCCUGAGCCUUGCAGAUGCCCGGUGAUUGCCCUGCCACAGGCAUGAAGCUUUGUCCCCUUUCUGCCCCUUUUCCUUGUUUCCCUGGGGUCCAGCAGCUGGAGCACCCCACCCAAGCCCCCAGAGAGAGCAGACCUCCAGUCUCCCCAGGCAGAGGCCGAGGUGGGUCUGCUUUGCUCAUCAGGCUGUUAGUUGUUGGAGCCUGGAGCAGGCGCCAUGUGGACAGCCCUGCUCAGAGGGCGCAGGUGCAGGCAGCCCCGGGGGGUCCAGGGCCCUGGGGCUCUGUGGUGAGCACCUCCCAGAGGCCUAGUGACCCCAGACCCCCAAAGGCACUGGUGUUUGGGUCCAGGCCCUCUGGGCUCUCUCUCUGAAACCUCCGCUGUUCAGAGCCCAGGAGCCCCUUGGGGUCUGGCAAGCGGCAGGCAGGAUUUCCUGUCGUUGUCACUGUCACUAUGGUUAGGCCAUGGUCCCCUUGGUGCAACCUGGGACCUUGGGUGGAGGGGCAGAAGGAGCCCGAGCUGCUGUCCGGGUUGGGGACCCCUGGGGCUUCUAGACAGGUCAGGGGCUGACUUGCCCUCCAGGGGCCUCAGACCAAGGAGGGGCCUUACCACCCACCUGGCUUGUCCAGAGUCAUGAGGGCUGAAGUGGUGGCCCCACAAGACAGCACCAGGCGGCCCUGGAGUGCUUUGUGAGAUAUGGGGUUAGCACAUGCUGCUCCUGCCUCUCAGGUCGCACGUGCCCGGGGUCCAGGGUGGGAGGAGUCUUCCUGUGCAGUGGCCCCAGCCCCUGGCCCCCCUGCUGACCCCAACUAGCCAGGGAGACCCUGCUCCCUCGGCCAUCUCAUCCCUGCCUGGAGCUGAGGUACUUGGGAGAACUGAGGGAGUAACUUCGUCAGUCUGGGGCUGAUGCACACCAAGCUCUGGUCAGUGCAGCAGCCGCCACCAAAGGUUGCUGGUCCCAGCUGGCCAGUGAUGCUGGGAUGGGGGAGCCACCGAGGGCUAAUGUCACCCAUACCCUCCCACCUCUGAACACCAGGCUGCUGGCCACCCACAGGGUCCCUGUGGAGAUGGGGUCCUGAGUCUGAGGCCCUGGGAGGUUCUUGUGCCCACAGUGGGAGGCAGAGGCCUAAGUGCUCCAUCCCGGGCAUCCCAGGCCUCUGUCUUCAGGGCACUGAGGGCCCCUCCUGCUGAGCAGGGUCUGCACUGGCGCCAGCCACUCCACCCUGCCCUCAGCAGAGUCCUCAGGUGGGUAAGUUCACGCAACUGGGGUUGGGGGGCAGGCCUUGGAGGAGGAUGGAUGAGGCAGAUUUCAAAUGUGAACUCCAAGAUCCAAGUUGCAUAAGCAGAUCCAGCUGCCAGAUGUGUGGGCAGCUGUGGCGCCCUGGACAGUGCAGCUGCAGAUGUUCUUUUCUGGGUCAGGAGACGUGAGGAGCCAGGACACUCCUGUCAGGCAGCCCUCCUGCUGCCGGGACUCCAGGAAAGGAAAUAAAGCACCUGUGUCCCCCACACGCAGCUUCCCAUAUUUGCCUGCAGCGUUGAUUCGGAAUUGAGGUAAAGUUUACUUAUGGCCAAAUGCGUGAUGUGAGCCUUUCAGGCCAGUGAGGUUUAAGAAAGAGGACAGCACUGCCCUCGGCCUUCCAGUGCAUGGGCGCCACGAGCAGUGCUCCCCACUCUGUCCCUCUGCUCCUCUUGGGGCACAGCAGCCCUGACGUGACCCCGAACCUGCAGCACUGGGCACUGUGCACUGUGGACCACAGGAUGACGGCACUGUGGAAACUGGGGUGUGGCUUUCCUCACUCAGUCUGAGGACAUUGACGUUCUUCUGUGUUGUGUGCAUCUGUAGUUCAUGGCCGUGUUGUGUUUUGGUUCUUAGUUGCCGAGCAGUGUUCUGUCUGAAUAAACUGGUCACAGCGUGUUUAUCCACAGGCUUUGCUUCCAGUCACGGUCGUGGUCGAUUAAGGCACUGCAUGUGUGUCUGUCUGUGUGCACGCUGCCAUUUCUCUUGUGUCUCAUCACAUCUCUGUUUUCUGUACGUUUGAAUGUUUUGACAUCUCGGGGGCUUUCAGGCCUGUGAAUGCCCCUCUCCUCCCUGAGCUAGCUGAUCCCCAGGGGGUACAGGCCUGCCUGGAGCCACGGCCGCAGGCAGGCUCACCAAGGGCUGUGCCUCCACC